GUUCCUGUUCCGGGCGGGGCGGCGGGAUGGACCGGGAGCUGCUGCGGCAGGCGCUGAGCUACCACGGCCCCGCGCUGCUCUCCCUGCUCCGCGCCGAGCAGCACGACAACCCCGACUUCCGCGGACUGCUGCCGCCGCCGGGGGCUGCCCUCGAGCCGCCCCGCGGGGCCCCGCACCCGCCGGCCGCCUGGAAAGAGACGUCGGGCAUUGACACCGAGAUAAAGCGCUUCAUUGCCAGGAAGGCUGACCUGCUCUUUGCCCACGCCUGGAGGCCCAACGGGCCGUUCUGCGACGCCAUCGAGGAGCAUGAGGAGUAUUACGCUGUCAUGCCUCCCCUGGAACGGUUCCUGGAUGUUCCCAGGGAAGACAGGAGAGAACUGUUUUUUCGGGACAUCGAGCGCGGCGAUAUCGUGUUUGGGAGGAUUACUUCUAUCCGUGAAUUUGGCUUCUUCAUGGUGCUCAUUUGCCUGGGAAGUGGCAUCAUACGGGAGAUAUCAGAUUUGGAAAUCAGUGCUCUUUGUCCCUUGAGAGAUGUUCCUCCUCAAAGCAACCAUGGAGAUCCUUUAUCUUAUUAUCAAAAUGGGGACCUUAUUCGAGCUGCAAUCAAGGAUGUUGAUCGUUACCAUGAGAAGCUCACGGUGUCACUUUACAGCUCAGCUCUUCCACCCAAUUUUUCCAGUACAAAACUGGGUGUAGUUACUUCUGAUGACCUCCCGUUACAUUAUAGGCGAAGCAUGGAAGUUGCUAACACAGGAGAGACAUUUGAAGAGGUUUUGCAUCGUUCCCCGGGCUUCGCUAAUCCGUCAUUAGUUGAAUAUCUAGCAGAAAAACUAGGACUAAGUGAAUCAAAUCCACCCUCUUUGCUGAGAAGCCUUCAAAUUAAAAACUUCAGUGAAGAAGAUUAUGCCCCUGCAUUGAGGAAAAAGCAAUCUGCAUCCUGGGCCUUGAAAUGUGUGAAGGCUGGGGUUGAUUAUUUUAAGGUUGGGCGCCAUGUGGAAGCCAUGAAUGAGUACAACAAGGCUUUGGAAAUUGAUCCACAAAACGUUGAAGCUUUGGUAGCACGUGGAGCUCUAUAUGCAACAAAAGGAAGUCUGAACAAAGCUAUAGGUGAUUUUGAAAUUGCUUUAGAAAACUGUCCUACCCAUAGAAAUGCAAGAAAAUACCUCUGUCAGACACUUGUGGAAAGAGGCGGACAGUUGGAAGAGGAAGACAAACUAGUAAAUGCUGAGAAUUACUAUAAAAAAGCCUUAAGUUUGGAUGAGACAUUUCAGGAAGCACAAGAGGCCUUAACAAAGCUCCGUAAGCACAUGCAGGUGAUUCUUUACUUUCUCUUCAUAUAAUAUGCUCAGUGACAAUACGUGAACAUAAAAGGUCAUACUAAAUCUUUUGAACAGGGAGAGUUCAAGUUGGUUUGUCUUAUUCUCUGCUUCCCUUCUCCACAGUAAAUCUUUUAUAGUGAGCAUUAUGGCUGUACCUACCAGAAGAAAGGUACCUCUUGGUGACUCCACUGUUUUGAAGAGGGUAGUAAAGAAAUGACAAAUAGUGGAGACAGGGAAAGAGCAAAUAACUGUCAACCCUGUCAGCUAAAACAAGAAUAAGAGUAGUCCACCACACAAGCAUGAUUACUGAUGUUAAAACAUUCUGUGAAUACAAACAUGCAAAACGUGAGACACUUACACAAGCCAAACAAACAUUCCAUACCAUUGGAUCAGCCAGAUCCUUGUCAUUUGGAGUAGUUAUGAAAAGAUAACCAGUCAAAACUAACUCACAGGAGUGUCACAAGAGGGGAAAUUAAGAGGUGCUUUAAAGGGAAGUGGCAGGAGGUGGAAGGGUGGGUGGACAGGCAGUUUUUAGCUUUCUCCUCUGCUGUCUGUUUUUCCCCCCUCUUCUCUUGCAUGCAGCAUGUUUCCCAGGUGAGCCCUGGUGGGGCUCUCUGUUAAUCUGAAUUGUUGUCUUUUUUUCUUUUGUUUACCUCCUUUACUUGUGUUGUCUUCCAGAGAGGAUCAAAGAGUAAAACAGCACUGAGGAGCAGGCUUGUUUUGUUCUAUGCUUCUGCAUGUAAGGAGUUACAUAGACUGGGUAGAUGGCCCUGGGCAGUUCUUCAGUUGGUGGAGCCAUAAUGCUGACAGGCUGUGUUGAAAAAAGGGGGAAGAGGAGAUAUGACAAUCUUCUUAAUAAAACUGAACUACAUCAUAGCUAAACCAUUGUUGGCUGCGUUAAAAAAAGGUGUCAGUCUCAGCUAAAAUUGUGAAGAAUGUUGUCAGCAAGAAGGAGACCAAUUUUACUCUCCUUUUGCAUUUUCCUGGUAUAAUAGGUCAUUGCUGCAGCAGAUGAAACCCAGGGUACCAGCUACUGUUGGAAGAUUUGAAAGGUGUUAGCUGCUACUGAGGGUUUCCUUUGUUGUGUCUGUUGCUAAGUUUUGAAAACAAUAGACUCUUUAACUCACUCUCAGUAUGAAUUAGACCUACUCUUUAUAGCUAUAGAAGGCAGAACUAUGAUCUCUAAUAGACUUAAUUAGUUUAAGGAUUAUUCAUUUGAUGAGAUAUUCUGUAUUUACCUUUGUUUUCAUACCUAAGUCUGAUACUAUCACUGUUGUGCUAGAAUGGCUGAAACAGCCCUGAAGUCUUUUUUCCUGUAAUACUGAUUAUGUGUUUUUCUCCAAUGCAUUUUCUUCUGAAUUGGACCGUUGUUGCUGUAUCUGACACCUGGUGCUGCUCAUCACCAACAAACCCUUGGAACAUGAUUUCUUACGUAAACUAUGCCUCAAACUGGUCUGUGAAAUUGUUACAAAACGAAAUCUUUGGAAAUGAGGGAGAAACAAGCUGCCAAAGAAGCAAGACAGAAAGAAAAGAAAGUAGAAACAAGUGCAGAAAAAUUGCG